ACCAAUGCCCUUCGGGGCUCUUUGGUGAUUCAUGAUAACUAUACGAAUCGCACGGCCUUGCGCCGGCGAUGGUUCAUUCUAAUUUCUUCCCUAUCAACUUUCGAUGUUUGGGUAUUGGCCAAACAUGGUUGCAACGGGUAACGGAGGGUUAGGGCUCGACCCCGGAGAAGGAGCCUGAGAAACGGCUACUACAUCCAAGGAAGGCAGCAGGCGCGCAAAUUACCCAAUCCCGACUCGGGGAGGUAGUGACAAUAAAUACUGAUACAGGGCCCUUUCGGGCCUUGUAAUUGGAAUGAGUACAAUUUAAAUCCCUUAACGAGGAACAAUUGGAGGGCAAGUCUGGUGCCAGCAGCCGCGGUAAUUCCAGCUCCACUAGCGUAUAUUAAAGUUGUUGUGGUUAAAAAGCUCGUAGUUGAACCUUGGGCCUGGCUGGCCGGUCCGCCUCACCGCGUGCACUGGUCCGGCCGGGCCUUUCCCUCUGUGGAACCCCAUACCCUUCACUGGGCGUGGCGGGGAAACAGGACAUUUACUUUGAAAAAAUUAGAGUGCUCCAGGCAGGCCUAUGCUCGAAUACAUUAGCAUGGAAUAAUAAAAUAGGACGCGCGGUUCUAUUUUGUUGGUUUAUAGGACCGCCGUAAUGAUUAAUAGGGACAGUCGGGGGGCAUCAGUAUUCAACUGUCAGAGGUGAAAUUCUUGGAUCAGUUGAAGACUAACUACUUGCGAAAGCAUUUUGCCAGG
rnacentral:rRNA from 1 species